GAGUGGCGAACUGGUGAGUAACACGUGGGAAACCUGCCCAGAAGCGGGGGAUAACACCUGGAAACAGAUGCUAAUACCGCAUAACAACUUGGACCGCAUGGUCCGAGUUUGAAAGAUGGCUUCGGCUAUCACUUUUGGAUGGUCCCGCGGCGUAUUAGCUAGAUGGUGGGGUAACGGCUCACCAUGGCAAUGAUACGUAGCCGACCUGAGAGGGUAAUCGGCCACAUUGGGACUGAGACACGGCCCAAACUCCUACGGGAGGCAGCAGUAGGGAAUCUUCCACAAUGGACGAAAGUCUGAUGGAGCAACGCCGCGUGAGUGAAGAAGGGUUUCGGCUCGUAAAACUCUGUUGUUAAAGAAGAACAUAUCUGAGAGUAACUGUUCAGGUAUUGACGGUAUUUAACCAGAAAGCCACGGCUAACUACGUGCCAGCAGCCGCGGUAAUACGUAGGUGGCAAGCGUUGUCCGGAUUUAUUGGGCGUAAAGCGAGCGCAGGCGGUUUUUUAAGUCUGAUGUGAAAGCCUUCGGCUCAACC
rnacentral:rRNA from 1 species